rnacentral:misc_RNA from 1 species
GAAAUGCGAUAAGUAAUGUGAAUUGCAGAAUUCCGUGAAUCAUCGAAUCUUUGAACGCACAUUGCGCCCUCUGGCAUUCCGAGGGGCAUGCCUGUCCGAGCGUCAUUACGCACCCUCAAGCCCGGCUUGUGUGAUGGGCCCCGGCGUCUCGUUCGCGAGACGGGCCCGAAAGGCAGCGGCGGCGUCGACCCGAUGAGCCCGAGCGUAUGGGGACUUCUGUCACACGUUCGCGGUGCGGACCGGCGCCUGCUUGACUUUUCUGAUUAUCCAGGUUGACCUCGGAUCAGGUAGGGAUACCCGCUGAACUUAAGC